UCAAUUUGUGUUUGUGACAAAUUUUACAACUAAUCAAAUAAUAUGUGUUGUAACGAUCAAAAUCAAACCGUCGUUAAUCACAUUCACAGUUUACGUUUAUUAAAGUUAUAUAAAUUAUUUCUUUACGUUUCAAUAAAUUAUUCACAGAAGUCAUACAGAAGAUCACGCUGCCAUACAAUAUGAUUCCAAACAUAAAGUUAAAAUUCAAGUUAAAUAAACAGUUUAAUUUUUAACCAAUUUGUGUUUGUAUCAAUUAAUUUUUCAACUACUAUCUAUUCAACGUAAACGUACAAUUUAAGAUGUGUACAGUAAUCAACCUACUA